GCUUGUCUCAAAGAUUAAGCCAUGCAUGUCUAAGUAUAAAUAAUUCUAUACUGUGAAACUGCGAAUGGCUCAUUAUAUCAGUUAUAGUUUAUUUGAUAGUCCCUUACUACUUGGAUAACCGUAGUAACUCUAGAGCUAAUACAUGCGCAAAUUCCCGACUGCUUUACGGCGGAAAGGAUGUAUUUAUUAGAUCCAACCAGCCCGGUCCGCCGGAGUCCCUGGUGAGUCAUAAUAACUGAGCGAAUCGCAUGGCCUUGCGCCGGCGAUGGUUCAUUCAAGUUUCUGCCCUAUCAGCUUUCGACGGUAGUGUAGUGGACUACCGUGGCGUUAACGGGUAACGGAGAAUUAGGGUUCGAUUCCGGAGAGGGAGCCUGAGAAACGGCUACCACAUCUAAGGAAGGCAGCAGG
rnacentral:rRNA from 1 species